GCAGCGAAUGCAGUGGGGACUACAUUGGUUUACCGGUCGCGAGUUCGAGCCUCGCCGGGUACACGAUUAAUUUGUGAACGAUUCGUUCCCAAUCGUACCCGUAGCUCAGUUGGUAGAGCAGUAAAAAGUCUCCACGAUCCCUUGUCGCUGCGCG
rnacentral:Y_RNA from 1 species